rnacentral:piRNA from 1 species
UCACAGCAAGAAAAGAUGAUGACAAACACU